rnacentral:lncRNA from 1 species
GAAAAUAUGCUUUUUUUAAGGGAAUAUUCAGCCUGUGCAAGAUAUAAGCUCAGUUAAUUCAAGUUUUAAAUUCUGUGUAAGUGCGGUCCACUACACUCCCUCUGGGUCAUUGAUAUCACAGUAAGACUUACGAGUAGCUUUUGCAAGCAGCCUACGAAGAAUUUUAUUUUUCUCUCUUUCUCUGUCCCCCUCCUUCUCCUUCUCUGACACACACGCACUCCUAGGUCCCAUAUGAUUUCUGCUUCCAUGCUACACUCAUUUCUGCUGUUAAUGGUGCUAUGAUAUUUGCUGUCCAUGGUGCUGUGCAGUUGACCUCUCAUCCCUAGCAGUGCAGACUCCUGUUCUUAGCGGGGCCAGGCACACCACUUGCAGCAUUCUACCUUGCACUGGCUCUUGUUUCCCUUCAGCACUUCCCACCCUCAGUCAUACUUUGUGACAUCAGAGAGGUUCUCCAUCUUUUCUCCGUUGGCUCAUCUAAUGAAGAUUCCAUCCACAUCCAUUCAGCCUUCUCCUCAUACACCCCUUUCAAGCUCUACUUCUUUGACAAUUUCUAUGCUCCAUCAUUCAUGUGCAACAAAGCCUAGAGGAGAAGUUAUUGUCAUCUCCUAUUUCCAGAAAUACCUUCAAAUUCCAGGGGGUGCUGUUGCUAUAGAAGAUACUUUUAUGGACAUGGAGGUUAGUGCUAUGACUCCCCACAGGAAGAUGUCUUACUGAGGAGAAUUGGGUCUCAACAGGACUGCUACAUUGCACAAAACCAGAAGCUCGACUGAACCAUUAAAAUGGCAUGGCAUGGAAGAACACCUGAAUUCAGAAAUAUGACCAAAAGUGGUGUGAAAUAAAAUCAAUAAAAUCCAUCAAGACAUCACAAAGCAUGUAUUCUGGGCUAUGAAGCCGGACAUUUCCCCUCAGUUGUAGAGAAAUUAAACCGAGCCACUUACAAUAAGAGCAAAGCUAGCAAUUCACACAUAUGCUGUGAAAUAAUGGCUGGGAGUUCCUUUCUGGUAUUCAACUGCCUUCUAAUGCAUCCUAG